UCCCUCAGUAAUGGCGAAUGAACAGGGAUGAGCUCAGUAUGGAAAUUGGGGCCUGUGGCCUUGAAUUGUAAUCUGGAGAUGUACCACCAACUGGGGCGCAGAUGUAAGCCUCUUGGAAAAGAGCAUCAAUGAGGGUGAGAGUCCCGCUUGGCAUCUGCAGUCCCCAGUGCACGGUGUACCUUCUAAGAGUCACGUUCCUCGGGAUUGGAGCGCAAAUCGGGUGGUAAGUUUCAUCUAAAGCUAAAUAUAGUUUCGAGACCGAUAGCAAACAAGUACCAUGAGGGAAAGGUGAAAAGGACUUUGAAAAGAGAGUUAAAAGUGCCUGAAAUUGCUGAAAGGGAAGCGAAUGGAACCAGCGUAACUUGGCGAGAUUGCUGCGUGUCAAUGUGAUUGCUUGCUGCUUCAACGUAAGUGUUGUAGUAAGUCUUGAACAGGACAUGCGCGGUGCUUCUUGCCUUGUGUGUCACCGUCAAUUCGCAACUGGGGAAAACUUCAGGGACAUGGUAGCCUGUCUCCGGGUGGGUGAACGUGUUUGCUGGAACUCAUUUGCGGAUUGCUUGGUGACUAAAUGGUUCCAUCUGACCCGUCUUGA
rnacentral:rRNA from 1 species